UGGGGAAUAUUGCGCAAUGGGGGAAACCCUGACGCAGCAACGCCGCGUGAAGGAUGAAGGUUUUCGGAUUGUAAACCUCUGUCCUUGGUGAAGAAAGAGAUGACGGUAGCCAAGGAGGAAGCCCCGGCUAACUACGUGCCAGCAGCCGCGGUAAUACGUAGGUGGCGAGCGUUGUCCGGAAUUACUGGGUGUAAAGGGCGUGUAGGCGGGAAAGCAAGUCAGAUGUGAAAUACCGGGGCUUAACUCCGGGGCUGCAUCUGAAACUGUUUUUCUUGAGUGUCGGAGAGGAAAGCGGAAUUCCUAGUGUAGCGGUGAAAUGCGUAGAUAUUAGGAGGAACACCAGUGGCGAAGGCGGCUUUCUGGACGACAACUGACGCUGAGGCGCGAAAGCGUGGGGAGCAAACAGG
rnacentral:rRNA from 2 species